AGUCACUGACAUUAGAUACCCCCGGUAGUCCAGGGUGUAAACGCUGCAGACUUGGUGUUGGAGGCCCUUUGGGGCAUUCAGUGCCGGAGAGAAGUUGUUAAGUCUGCUACUUGGGGAGUACGUCCGCAAGGAUGAAACUUAAAGGAAUUGGCGGGGGAGCACCGCAACGGGAGGAGCGUGCGGUUUAAUUGGAUUCAACACCGUAAACUCACCAGGGAAGACUGUUACAUGAAGGCCGAGAUGAAGACUCUGCUAGAUUUUCAG
rnacentral:rRNA from 1 species